GCGGCUGUGGCGGAAUUGGCAGACGCGCUAGACUUAGGAUCUAGUUGGGGAGACCCAGUGGAGGUUCGAGUCCUCUCAGCCGCA
rnacentral:tRNA from 1 species